AUUGAACGCUGGCGGCAUGCUUUACACAUGCAAGUCGGACGGCAGCACAGAGAAGCUUGUUUCUUGGGUGGCGAGUGGCGCACGGGUGAGAAACAUAUCGGAACGUACUGAGCAGUGGGGGAUAACUAAUCGAAAGAUUAGCUAAUACCGCAUAUUUUCUGAGGCAGAAAGCAGGGGACUUAUGGGCCUUGCGCCUUUCGAGCGGCCGAUAUCUGAUUAGCUAGUUGGUGGGGUAAAGGCCUACCAAGGCGACGAUCAGUAGCGGGUCUGAGAGGAUGAUCGGCCACACUGGAACUGAGACACGGCCCAGACUCCUACGGGAGGCAGCAGUGGGGAAUUUUGGGCAAUGGGCGCAAGCCUGAUCCAGCCAUGCCGCGUGUCUGAAGAAGGCCUUCGGGUUGUAAAGGUCUUUUGUCAGGGAAGAAAAGAGCGGGGUUAAUACCCCUGUCUGAUGACGGUACCUGAAGAAUAAGCACCGGCUAACUACGUG
rnacentral:rRNA from 1 species